AAAAACUCGGCCCUCUCCCUGCCGACCCGACGGUCUCUCCUCUCCCGAGCUCGCUCCUCACCGCGCCGCCGCCGUCCUUCUCCCCAGCACCGACACCGCCAUGGAAUAGCGCAACUUGGCGCUGGCGGUGGCCUCCGUAAGCCUUCCUAUGUUGCCGCCUCCUCCCACCAGUCUAUGUGGCCUCAAUGAAACCUUAGCGUCGCGAGGCAACUCUGGCGGCGCAACCCUCUGGCCUCUUCCUCAUCAGCGGCAACGGCGACGGUGAUGCUCAACGGCUGGAUCUACCGGUAUCUCACGCUCUUCUUCUCCCCCGUAGUCUCGUGGCUCCUCCCCAAGAUCCUCUCUCGAUGGCCAGUGUGCGGGCUGCGCUAGAUUGCGGCUCUCCUCCAGUCCUCUUCCUCUCAAAUCCCGGCGGACAGCGGACGGAUGUGGCUCGUUGCCGCGGUGGCCGACCUGCAGGCGGUUCGUGGCUGGCCGCUGCCCCUGGUCAGUGCGUCCCGUUUCAGGCAGAUGGCAGCAGCCGCGGGCGGUGCCUCUGGCCCCUGCUGUCUGCAGUCCGCUGAUCUGUUGGCCUGCCCCUGCUGUGGAAAUUUGCUUAGGAUUUUUUUUGGCGUGAAUCAAUGCAUCUGAAUUGUGUGUGCUGAUGGAGACGUGGCUACGUAUCUCAAUUGUGUGUGCUGAUGGAUGGGGAAGGAAAUGAAGCCGUGCGUAGAGGAUAUGAAGCUCAAGCUGAAGCCGGGAAUGGGUCCAGAGAUGUGUGGAUGGAGAACGACAUGAUGCCAUGUCAUGUGGUCUGCUUGGUUUUCAAUCUUGCCUUUCUUUGUCAACUUUACUUUUAUGCAUGCUUUUUUUUGUUUACAUGCUCCACCAGCUUCGCCCUUGCGAUUGAUCGACACAAGUAUUUUUUCAUCUCCCUGUUAUUUCUGUGCUGCAAAAGUAGCCAACAUCCAAACCUAAUAUUCAGCUCGGUAAAUGCUUUAUUUUUUUUACGGCAACAAUUUUUUUAGUAGAAGAAUAGUGAAGGUAGAGGGCAGAGGCUCUUGUCUAUAUAUUUUCCUUAGGGUUCUAAAUCAUUAAUCCAUCUCAUUACAGUUGUGCUGCUAGCUGAAAUAUAUGGUGUCAACUUAUAGAUUUAUUCUCUUUGCUCUUUAUUUCCUUAGUUUGCAAUAGUAUAUUUGUUGGGUUGUAUUGUAGCUAUUAGUUAGUAUCCCAUUCCUUCAAUACAUUCCCAGCGACGGUAUUUUUGCCAUGUUAAAGUGCCUCUGCGUUGCCCUGCACUCACCGGGUCAUAUUUUCUGCUGCUUCAGAAGCCUGCGUCGGCAGCGGUAGCUCCAUCUGCUUGCUUCCUGCUCAGAAGGCUGGAUCAUCAUCCUAUCAAUUGUCAUGUUCUUCAAGUUCAGUUCGAGGAUAUUUUAUUUUGCUGCAGGGCUGCCAAAAUGUUGGGACGACAGGUGUGAUAUAAUCAAAGGCAUUUAUGUCACCAAGUAUAACAG